CCUACGGGUGGCAGCAGUGGGGAAUAUUGGACAAUGGGCGAAAGCCUGAUCCAGCCAUGCCGCGUGUGUGAAGAAGGCCUUCGGGUUGUAAAGCACUUUCAGUGGGGAAGAAAGCCUUGGGGCUAAUACCCUCGAGGAAGGACAUCACCCACAGAAGAAGCACCGGCUAACUCCGUGCCAGCAGCCGCGGUAAUACGGAGGGUGCGAGCGUUAAUCGGAAUUACUGGGAGUAAAGCGCGCGUAGGCGGUCUGAUAAGCCGGUUGUGAAAGCCCCGGGCUCAACCUGGGAACGGCAUCCGGAACUGUCAGGCUAGAGUGCAGGAGAGGAAGGUAGAAUUCCCGGUGUAGCGGUGAAAUGCGUAGAGAUCGGGAGGAAUACCAGUGGCGAAGGCGGCCUUCUGGACUGACACUGACGCUGAGGUGCGAAAGCGUGGGUAGCAAACAGGAUUAGAUACCCGAGUAGUC
rnacentral:rRNA from 1 species